rnacentral:rRNA from 1 species
CCUACGGGUGGCUGCAGUGGGGAAUAUUGGUCAAUGGGCGCAAGCCUGAACCAGCAACGCCGCGUGAAGGAUGAAUGCUUUCCGGGUGUAAACUUCUUUUUUCACGGAAGUGUAGAAGACGGUACCUGACGAAUAAGCCACAGUUAACUACGUGCCAGCAGCCGCGGUCAUACGUAGGUGCCAAGCGUUAUCCGGAUUUACUGGGUGUAAAGGGCGUGUAGCCGGGUUGACAAGUCAGAUGUGAAAUCCUGCGGCUUAACCGUAGAAUUGCAUUUGAAACUGUUGAUCUUGAGUAUUGGAGAGGUAGACGGAAUUCGUAGUGUAGCGGUGAAAUGCUUAGAUAUUAGGAGGAACACCAGUGGCGAAGGCGGUCUGCUGGACAGCAACUGACGGUGAGGCGCGAAAGUGUGGGGAGCAAACAGGAUUAGAUACCCUUGUAGUC